UGGGGGAAUAUUGGGCAAUGGGCGAAAGCCUGACCCAGCGACGCCGCGUGAGGGAAGAAGGUCUUCGGAUUGUAAACCUUUGUCAACAGGGACGAAGCAAUGACGGUACCUGUGAAGGAAGCCACGGCUAACUACGUGCCAGCAGCCGCGGUAAUACGUAGGUGGCGAGCGUUAUCCGGAUUUACUGGGUGUAAAGGGUGAGUAGGCGGGAAGGCAAGUCAGAUGUGAAAUGCAAUGGCUCAACCAUUGAAUUGCAUUUGAAACUGUUUUUCUUGAGAGUCGGAGAGGUAAUCGGAAUUCCUAGUGUAGCGGUGAAAUGCGUA
rnacentral:rRNA from 1 species